rnacentral:rRNA from 1 species
UACAGAGGGUGCGAGCGUUGUCCGGAAUCACUGGGCGUAAAGGGCGCGUAGGCGGCUCAGUAAGCGUGCGGUGAAAGCCCGGGGCUCAACCCCGGGUCGGCCGUGCGAACUGCAGAGCUGGAGCACUGUAGAGGCAGGUGGAAUUCCGGGUGUAGCGGUGGAAUGCGUAGAGAUCCGGAAGAACACCGGUGGCGAAGGCGGCCUGCUGGGCAGUGGCUGACGCUGAGGCGCGACAGCGUGGGGAGCAAACAGG